CGGAUGAACGCUGGCGGCGUGCCUAAUACAUGCAAGUCGAACGAGGUGCUUUUGUAGCAAUACGAGAGUAUCCUAGUGGCGAACGGGUGAGUAACGCGUUGGUGACCUACCCCAAAGUGUGGAAUAACAGUCCGAAAGGAUUGCUAAUACCGCAUGUGGUUAUCGGGCUUAGAAACUGAUAACUAAAGGAGCAAUUCGCUUUGGGGAGGGACCUGCGUCCCAUCAGCUAGUGGUGAGGUAACGGCUCACCAAGGCUACGGACGGGUAGGGGACCUGAGAGGGUCGACCCCCCACAAUGGAACUAGAAACACGGUCCAUACACCUACGGGUGCAGCAGUAGGAAUAUGCACAAGUGGGACGAAAGCCUAGAUGCAGACAACGCCGCGUGUGCGAUGGAAGGUCCGUUCGGGUACGUAAAGCUACUUUUCGAGAGAAGAGUAGAAGGAAAGGACAGUAUCUACG
rnacentral:rRNA from 1 species